GGCUAGCGGCGUAGCCUAAUACAUGCAAGUCGAGCGAACAGAGAAGGAGCUUGCUCCUUUGACGUUAGCGGCGGACGGGUGAGUAACACGUGGGCAACCUACCUUAUAGUUUGGGAUAACUCCGGGAAACCGGGGCUAAUACCGAAUAACCUAUUUUACUUCAUGGUGAAAUACUGAAAGACGGUUUCGGCUGUCGCUAUAAGAUGGGCCCGCGGCGCAUUAGCUAGUUGGUGAGGUAACGGCUCACCAAGGCGACGAUGCGUAGCCGACCUGAGAGGGUGAUCGGCCACACUGGGACUGAGACACGGCCCAGACUCCUACGGGAGGCAGCAGUAGGGAAUCUUCCACAAUGGGCGAAAGCCUGAUGGAGCAACGCCGCGUGAGUGAAGAAGGUUUUCGGAUCGUAAAACUCUGUUGUAAGGGAAGAACAAGUACAGUAGUAACUGGCUGUACCUUGACGGUACCUUAUUAGAAAGCCACGGCUAACUACGUGCCAGCAGCCGCGGUAAUACGUAGGGUGGCAAGCGUUGUCCGGAAAUUAUUUGGGCGUA
rnacentral:rRNA from 1 species